GAUGAACGCUGGCGGCGUGCCUAACACAUGCAAGUCGAACGAUGAAACCGCCUCCGGGCGGACAUGAAGUGGCGAACGGGUGAGUAACACGUGACCAACCUGCCUUCCGCUCCGGGACAACCUUGGGAAACCGAGGCUAAUACCGGACGACGCGGGGCCCCCGCAUGGGGGCCCCGCCAAAGCCCUGGCGGCGGAAGAUGGGGUCGCGGCCCAUUAGGUAGUAGGCGGGGUAACGGCCCACCUAGCCCGCGAUGGGUAGCCGGGUUGAGAGACCGACCGGCCACAUUGGGACUGAGAUACGGCCCAGACUCCUACGGGAGGCAGCAGUGGGGAAUUUUGCGCAAUGGGGGAAACCCUGACGCAGCAACGCCGCGUGCGGGAUGACGGCCUUCGGGUUGUAAACCGCUUUCAGCAGGGAAGACCAAGCGACGGUACCUGCAGAAGAAGCUCCGGCUAACUACGUGCCAGCCGCCGCUGUAA
rnacentral:rRNA from 1 species